rnacentral:rRNA from 1 species
ACGGGCGGUGUGUACAAGGCCCGGGAACGUAUUCACCGCAGCAUGCUGAUCUGCGAUUACUAGCAAUUCCGACUUCAUGCAGGCGAGUUGCAGCCUGCAAUCUGAACUGGGACGUUGUUUUUGAGUUUUGCUCCAUCUCGCGAUUUCGCUUCUCUUUGUUGAACGCCAUUGUAGUACGUGUGUAGCCCAAGUCAUAAAGGGCAUGAUGAUUUGACGUCAUCCCCACCUUCCUCCGUUUUGUCAACGGCAGUCUGAAUAGAGUCCUCUUGCGUAGUAACUAUCCAUAAGGGUUGCGCUCGUUGCGGGACUUAACCCAACAUCUCACGACACGAGCUGACGACAACCAUGCACCACCUGUCUCUCUGUCCCGAAGGAAAAUACUGUUUCCAGCAUCGUCAGAGGAUGUCAAGACUUGGUAAGGUUCUUCGCGUUGCGUCGAAUUAAACCACAUACUCCACUGCUUGUGCGGGCCCCCGUCAAUUCCUUUGAGUUUCAACCUUGCGGUCGUACUCCCCAGGUGGAUUACUUAUUGUGUUAACUGCGGCACUGAA